AGCGAACGCUGGCGGCAUGCCUAACACAUGCAAGUCGAACGAACUCUUCGGAUUUAGUGGCGGACGGGUGAGUAACACGUGGGAACGUGCCUUUUGGUUCGGAAUAACUCAGGGAAACUGGUGCUAAUACCGAAUGUUGUCUUCGGGGGAAAGAUUUAUCGCCAUUAGAUCGGCCCGCGUCUGAUUAGCUAGUUGGUAAGGUAACGGCCUACCAAGGCGACGAUCAGUAGCUGGUCUGAGAGGAUGACCAGCCACACUGGGACUGAGACACGGCCCAGACUCCUACGGGAGGCAGCAGUGGGGAAUCUUGCGCAAUGGGCGAAAGCCUGACGCAGCCAUGCCGCGUGAAUGAUGAAGGUCUUAGGAUUGUAAAACUCUUUCACCCGGGAUGAUAAUGACGGUACCCGGAGAAGAAGCCCCGGCUAACUUCGUG
rnacentral:rRNA from 1 species